GGAGAAAGUAUGAAGCUUGGAGGAGUGGUGAAAUUGGUUCGAACAAUUUUUAUUCGAAAACUGAACGUUUUAGGGGAGGUCAAAGGAGUUGACUUUUUAUACGUUCAUAAUUGGGGAAAACUUCCUUCAUGAAAGUUGUAGAGCUCGUCGAUACGAUCUCGUGCAUAUGUGGUAUGCAAAAAUCAGAGUUCGUAUGAAUUAGUUAUGAUUUUUUUGAAAAAGUUUCCAGUUUAGUAUAAAGCUGCCAUUUUUGGAAAUUACCAAAAAUAAUUUCAGUUCCAUUUCUGGAAACCGAACUCUCUCUCUCUUGCGCGCGUCCGAGCCCAGAAAAAACAGAGCAAAGCUCUCCGGCCGAGUUCUCCCUCCUCCGGCCACCAAUCGACACCAGACCACCUCCCUUGCCUUCGCCUCGACGCCGCCUACCUGCUAGACGUGAUCACUUCCACCGGAACGGCCUCAAAUCCGGCAGUCGGAGCCGCAAACUUUGAAACAAAAAUCGGUCAACGCCGGUUUUCUCCUAGCUCCGGCCACCAAAACUCACGAUCCUUAGCUCCCUGAACUCGCCUCAACCUUCUGAUCAUCAUUCUAGAAGGAUCGCACCUGGAGUGAUCGGAUUCACGUUCGUCGGAGCUCGCCGGAUUCUGGAAAUUUUCCACCACCACCGAAGCUUUUGAUAGAAGGAAUCGAAGCCUGAAAUUGAAGUUUUGACGUCGAAAUCAAGCCUUGCCGGAUUCUGCAAAAUUCUGGAAUUUUUCCGACCACCGAAGCUUUCGAUCGGUAUAUCUCGAGCUACAGACCAUAUUUUUCUGUGAUUCUUGAACCAGUGAGUUCUUCUUGAGUUUCUUAACAACUCUUCAGAAGGAAUCGAAGCCUUAAAUUGACGUUUUUACGUCGAAUUGGAGCUCGCCGUUUUCUGCAGUUUCUCGCCGGUUUCUGGAAAAUUCCGGCCACCUUCAUACUGUUCAAAGUAAUUUUCGACCCCUUCCGGUCAUUUUCAGACUUCGUGCUAGUUAUGAAAGUUGUCAAGCAUGAUGAGAGGAAGAAGAGCAGCCCGGCCCCGACACCAUUGGUGGUGGUCGGCGGCGGCUCUGCCACUAACUCCGGCGGCCCUUUCCGGCCACCUCCGGGGAUCAAAAAUAUGGUUUCUGUACAUUUUCAGAUUCUAUAUUUCAAUACGAUCAUUUCGAUAUAUUAUACGCAAUUUUUGGAUAUCGUAUGAUUAAGUUAUGAAUUUUUAAGUUUAGAUCGAUUUCGAUCGUUAGAUUUGUGAUCUGUGAAGUUAGUACCGUCAGAUGGACUUGUAGUUUUGAUAUGAUGAUCUUAUGACAGUCCCAGUGGGUUUGUGUAGUCAUGGGCGAAGAUCCGACCGUUGGAUCUUCGUAUAAAUGCAAAACAGUGAUUAGGAAGGCGAUCCGUGAGGAUCCGACCGUUGGAUCAUCAUUUAAUUUCAAUCCGACCGUUGGAUUGUCGUUUGAUUAUGUUUUUGAGUUAUUUGCUAAGUUAAGGUCAUGUUUGAUUAGGUGAUCGACGGUUUGAUUUGGCGGACGAUUCGUGAAAUUGUAUUUUGAGCUGUUAAGAAGACGCAGCGGGAAUUUAGAGCGGGUAAUCCUACAGGUCAGGAGAACCAGGACGGUGAUCGGGCUGCUUAGAGUAGUGUUAUGUGAAUUACAGCAUUAUAUUGUGAGGUUUGUUAUGCUCAUUUAGAGCUUUACGAUUUUACUUUGUAAGAGUGAAUUGUAAUAAUUAACUCGAGGUUUUCGAGUUUUGUGUUGAGUGGCGAGUGGUGUGUUUGUUUCUGAGAAAAAAAAAUUCAGAACGUUAUUUGUAU